AGCAGCCGCGGUAAUUCCAGCUCCAAUAGCGUAUAUUAAAGUUGUUGCAGUUAAAAAGCUCGUAGUUGAAUUUCGGAAUCUGUCCGUCGGUCGGGCUUCACUGUCCGUACUGGUGUGGUGGGUUCUUACCUUCUGAAUAACCAGCAUGCCAUUCAUUUGGUGCGCUGGGGAAGCAGGACUAUUACCUUGAAAAAAUUAGAGUGCUCAAAGCAGGCUAGUGCCUGAAUACAUUAGCAUGGAAUAAUAAAAUAGGACGGCAUGGUUCUAUUUUGUUGGUUUCUAGGAUCACCGUAAUGAUUAAUAGGGAUAGUUGGGGGCAUUAGUAUUCAAUUGUCAGAGGUGAAAUUCUUGGAUUUAUUGAAGACUAACUUCUGCGAAAGCAUUUGCCAAGGAUGUUUUCAUUAGUCAAGAACGAAAGUUAGGGGAUCGAAGACGAUCAGAUACCGUCGUAGUCUUAACCAUAAACUAUGCCGACUAGGGAUCGGACGAUGUUAAUUUUUUAAUGACUCG
rnacentral:rRNA from 1 species